rnacentral:rRNA from 1 species
GACAGAGGGUGCAAACGUUGUUCGGAAUUACUGGGCGUAAAGCGCGUGUAGGCGGCUAUGCAAGUCGGAUGUGAAAGCCCUCGGCUCAACCGGGGAGGUGCACUCGAAACUGCAAAGCUAGAGUCUCGGAGAGGAUCGUGGAAUUCUCGGUGUAGAGGUGAAAUUCGUAGAUAUCAGGAAGAACACCCGUGGCGAAGGCGGCUCUCUGGGACGGUACUGACGCUGAGACGCGAAAGCCAGGGGAGCAAACGGG